rnacentral:rRNA from 1 species
AGCGAACGCUGGCGGCAGGCCUAACACAUGCAAGUCGAACGGACCCUUCGGGGUUAGUGGCGGACGGGUGAGUAACACGUGGGAACGUGCCUUUAGGUUCGGAAUAGCUCCUGGAAACGGGUGGUAAUGCCGAAUGUGCCCUUCGGGGGAAAGAUUUAUCGCUUUAGAGCGGACCGCGUCUGAUUAGCUAGUUGGUGAGGUAAUGGCUCACCAAGGCGACGAUCAGUAGCUGGUCUGAGAGGAUGACCAGCCACAUUGGGACUGAGACACGGCCCAAACUCCUACGGGAGGCAGCAGUGGGGAAUCUUGCGCGAUGGGCGAAAGCCUGACGCAGCCAUGCCGCGUGAAUGAUGAAGGUCUUAGGAUUGUAAAAUUCUUUCACCGGGGACGAUAAUGACGGUACCCGGAGAAGAAGCCCCGGCUAACUUCGUGCCAGCCGCCGCGGUAACAC